AUUCAUGUGGCUCUAGAGAAGGCAGGCAGACUCCAAAAGGCCGUGGAGAAGAAGCCAGAAUCAGAGCCAGGUGGGUGGCCUUCAUAUACCUCUUUUUCUCUCUUUCACCAUCAUCUAAGUAGCCCUGAAUUUCAGUGCAGUUGAGAGCUGUAAAUUUACAGAGUGUAAGAAAGGGAUCUUGCCCAAUGCCUGCGCAGAGGCUCCUACAGCUCCUGUGAGUGCAGCAGUUCAGGGGAUCAGGAGAAGGGACCAGGACAAGGAUCUGCAGAAGCCAGGCGGCAGGAACUGGCUCUUGGGGGAAGGAAGUCAUCUACUCAGUCUCAUCCCUAAUGUAUCCAAGUGCCCAUGUUCCCCCUGAAGGCAGAGCUAUAGGAAACUGCACUGAUCUAUUAGGGCAGGUCUGGGCAGGCUGGCGCGAGUAUCCCCUAGUAAGAGUCAUUUGGAAGCUCUGGUAGCUGGAGGGCCCCUAGAGCCCCAUCAGGCACAUGUGCAAAUGAAGACUGACUGUUGCCCAUUUGAAGCCAUCACAUCCUUGUGACUUGCAGAAGUUGGGCUCCUUCCGCAAUGCAGGCUAUGCAGCCUCUUGGGGCUAGGCCCUAGAUCCACACACCUAAGGGGCUUAGGAGCCUGCUGAAGGGAUUUGCAUUGCACAUGUGCAUGCAGCAUGGUUCAAGGGAGCCAGGGGUCUGGAACAGGGCAAGGUUCCAGGGAGUCUUGGUCAUGGUAUCCAGUUCUUAGAGCAACCUCCUUAUUCUAAGCCCUAACUUCCUCACUGGAGAAUAUUCUCCUUCAAGGCAGAGCUAGUGGAGAAUUGACUGCUUGGCCACCUUGCCUGGUUAUCAUCCCAUAAUAGAAACCUGGGAGCCCUGUUGGGUUGUUGGAGAGACCUGGGUCCCACCAAGCAGCAAGUCCUAAUGGAAACUACCUGUUGUCCAUUUCCAGCUGCCUCAGAGUGAUUGCAGGGCAUUCGCUCCCUCCAUCCUGGAGGCUAUGGACGUAUCGGGGCUGGGCGAUAGCUCCACAGACAACCUGGAGAACCCUGGUUGCUAAAGGUACUGAAAGGGUACCUAUUGCACAUGUGCAUUCAGCAGAGUUCAAGGUAGCCAGGGAUGUGGCACAGAGCAAGGGUUCAGAGAUGUCAGCUCAAAGAUGUGGGUUCUUGGGGAGCAAGGCAUCUGCCUAAUACCAAGCCAUAACCUACCCAAAGAUGCACAUUUCCUUUGGAGGUAAGAGCUAAAGAAACUUGGCUGAGACAAUACGGUCCUACUGUACAGCACAGGGAACUAUAUCCAGUCUCCUGGGAUAGACCAUGAUGGAAAAGACUAUCAAAAAAAGAAUAAUGUAUGUAGUUGUAUAUGUAUGACUGAGUCACUUUGCUGUAAAGCAGAAAUUGACACGACAUUGUAAAUCAACUAUACUUAAAUAAAAAUAAAAAGAACUGGAGUUUGCAUUGUGGCUCAGUGGGUUAAGAGCCUGACUAAUAUACAUGACGAUGCAAGUGAUCCUGGCCUCGCUCAGUGGGUUGGUUAAGGAUCCAGAGUUGCCGCAAGCUGUGGUGUAGGUUGAAGAUGUGACUCAGAUGUGGGUAUUGACGUGGUUGUGGCUGGGAUAGACCAGCAUCUGCAGCUCUGAUUCGACCCCUGGCCUGGGAACUUCCAUAUGCCGCAGGUGCAUUCCUAAAAAGAAAAAAAAAAUUUUUUUGAGGGAAUAAUAAGUCUCUCUCUCAGAGGGAGAGAGAUAGAAAGAAACUUGGCUGCCUUGCUCAGGUGGGACCUGGUGGGAUGGCCCAGACAUCCUCCCAUAAGAAACCCCUGGGAGCCCUGUUUGCUGGAGUAACCUCGAGUCACAUCAAGCGUCAACUCAAAUGGGGUCAAACUGUCGCCAGUUUGCAGAUGCUGCCUCAGAGAGAUUUGCUGGGGCUGGGCUCCUUCCACCCUGGAGGACAGGCAGGCUUUGCAUCGUGGGCCUACUGCACUGACCUGGCUGGCCAAGGCCUUCUGAAGCAAUAUGUAAUGGGCAUGUUCCUACAGCUCAGGUCGGGCAAGCCAGGGAUCUGUAAGAGGGUAAGGGUUGGGAAAAGCCAUAUCUUAGGGAUGGGCUCUUGGGUGAAUAAGGCCUCUACCUAAUUCCAAUUCUUUGGACACUGAAGGGCAAGCCUUGGGUGGAUAGCUUACACUGUUCCAAAUUUACCAUGAUUAAUUAGGUCCUGGAUCCAUGUUCAUGAUGAUAAUAGAUGGAGAUGUUGUGAGCUAUGGUAAGAUAGCUAAAGACCAAAUUGAAAAUGGAGCUCUAUGUUGCUUAAUUUGCCAUAAUAUAUUUCCUGAUUGUUUUUUUUUUUCUUCUUUUAUGGCCUCACGCAUGGCAUAUGUAUGUUCCCGGGGUAGGGGUUAAAUCUGAGUGGCACCUCCAGGCAACACUGGAUCCUUUAACCCACUACACUGGGCUGGGGAUUGAACCCGUGCCUCUACAGCAACCCAAGAGGCUGCAGUUGGAAUCUUAACCAGCUGGGCCAUGUUGGGAACUCCUGUUUCCUGACUUUUAUUUUUAUUUUUUAUUUAUCUUUUUCUUUUUUGGCCGUUCCGUGGCACAUGGAGUUCCUGGGCCAGGGAUCGAACCUGUGUCCCAGUGCUCUCAAGAUGCCUUCAAAUCCCGUUGUGCCACAGCAGGAACUCCUGUCUCCUGAUUUAUAAAGAUAGUUUUACUAAUUUUUUCCCUGAAUUUCAAACUUAGCAUGCUUAUUGUAAAAAAAAAGAAAAUUUCUUUAUGAAAAUUUGUACAAAUGCUCUCCAAGUUCUCACAGUGAAUGUGGAUAGGACAACUGGAGAAGGAGGAGACUGAGCACAAACCAGUGUGGCCUGCUUUUUAUUUAGGGGGUUCUGAGCAAACUUCUGGGCAUUGCUAAGGACCAAACUCUUCUUCUACUCCCAGUUCUUCGUUUUCUGGGUCUUGUAAAACAGUGCGUGGGAGGAAAAGGCACCACCAUAUGGGGAUCUGGGCAGACCUAGUUUGAAACUCUGUCCCUCUGUGGCUGUGAUGUACAACUUGGCAUACUUUUGAAAGCUUGCUGUGCUUUUACCUCUGGAGUGGGGGAUAACAAUACUUAACUUGUAGGGCUAUUGUAAGGUUAAAAGAAAGAUGAUCCUUAUCAAAUGCCUGGUGCUUGGCAUGUAGUGGCUCUAAAACAGAAGCAAGUGGACCCAGUCUCCUGUCUAAUAUCAGAGUAGGCGCUGGGAUACACAAUUUUAUUUCUGACCACGCCCUCGGCCUUCGGAAGUUCCCAGGCCAGGGAUCAAACCCAUGCCACAGCAGUGACAACCCUGGAUCCUUAACCCAUUGAGCCGCCAGGGAACUCCGGCACUAGGAUAUUACAGAAUUGCCUGGUCCUGAGAUCUGUUGGGAGAAUCGCUGCCCUCCUUCGCUCAGAGCUCCUUAGUGUUUGACCAGGACAGUUCUGUCUCCUCCUCCAUGCGAGGCCCACGUAAAUGCAAUCACUUCCUCACCCAUCCC
rnacentral:lncRNA from 1 species